rnacentral:rRNA from 1 species
CUAAGUUUGAUGGCGACCGGCGCACGGGUGAGUAACACGUAUCCAACCUGCCGAUGACUCGGGGAUAGCCUUUCGAAAGAAAGAUUAAUACCCGAUGGCAUAGUUCUUCCGCAUGGUAGAACUAUUAAAGAAUUUCGGUCAUCGAUGGGGAUGCGUUCCAUUAGGUUGUUGGCGGGGUAACGGCCCACCAAGCCUUCGAUGGAUAGGGGUUCUGAGAGGAAGGUCCCCCCACCAUUGGAACUGAGACACGGUCCAAACUCCUACGGGAGGCAGCAUG